AGGGGGACGAACAGUUGGAAACGAACUGCUAAUACCGCAUACGAUCUAAUCUCGGCAUCGAGGAUAGAUGAAAGGUGGCCUCUACAUGUAAGCUAUCACUGAAGGAGGGGAUUGCGUCUGAUUAGCUAGUUGGAGGGGUAACGGCCCACCAAGGCGAUGAUCAGUAGCCGGUCUGAGAGGAUGAACGGCCACAUUGGGACUGAGACACGGCCCAGACUCCUACGGGAGGCAGCAUG
rnacentral:rRNA from 1 species